GUGAAUCAUCGAAUUUUUGAACGCAAAUUGCACUCUCUCCGGAGAGUAUGCCUGUUUGAGGGUCAGCCUAAAAAAAAUCGACAUAGUCGCUGUUACGCGGUAACAUUCGUCGGAAAUUGGGUCAUCUUAAACCUUUGGGUUUUAGCGGCCUAAAAAUUUUUUUUACAUUUCAACAAACGUUUUAAGAAUUUAUUUUUUUAUCCGUUAAAGG
rnacentral:misc_RNA from 1 species